rnacentral:rRNA from 1 species
UGGGGAAUUUUGGACAAUGGGCGCAAGCCUGAUCCAGCAAUGCCGCGUGCAGGACGAAGGCCUUCGGGUUGUAAACUGCUUUUGUACGGAGCGAAAAGGUCUGCCCUAAUACGGUGGGCUCAUGACGGUACCGUAAGAAUAAGCACCGGCUAACUACGUGCCAGCAGCCGCGGUAAUACGUAUGGUGCGAGCGUUAAUCUGAAUUACUGGGCGUAAAGCGUGCGCAGGCGGUGAUGUAAGACAGAUGUGAAAUCCCCGGGCUCAACCUGGGAACUGCGUUUGUGACUGCAUCACUCGAGUACGGCAGAGGGAGGUGGAAUUCCGCGUGUAGCAGUGAAAUGCGUAGAUAUGCGGAGGAACACCGAUGGCGAAGGCAAUCCCCUGGACCUGUACUGACGCUCAUGCACGAAAGAGUGGGGAGCAAACA